CUGAGUGUCCUACCCACAAUGGGCGGGUUUAAAAAGAAGAAAGUGGGUGGCCGUUAGUCCGGAGCUACACAGGAAGUACGACUUUUUUUAUCAACAUCAAAAUUUAAAACGUGUGAACUUCACAAAACACCACGCAUUUACAACAAACCCGGCGGAAGAGCAAACUGGGAAGCGGGGAAAAUGACCUUGUCUCCGCCGCCGCUGUGCUGAGCCUGCAGCAGGACAGAGUAAGGCCAUUUCCCUCAACCUGCAAUUCAAACCUGGGCCGUUACUGCAAAAGCACUCAGGGGUUCUCAUCUCGUUCUCUCUGGUGGGGGAUAUUUCCAAUCGCUAUGCUGUCAGUCCGAGUGUUGGGUUCAGCUCUGCACGUGGACAGGAAAUGGCGCCUUCCUGAUGAAACGGUCAUGACAAAGCCCUUUGUUUCCUUAGGCAUGAUCAGCUGUUGUUUGAGUUGAGAAGCGGCUCCCAAACAAACUGAAAUGGCAUGCAAGUCAUCCUCAGUUCAGUUAGUGGCGUCACCAUUUUUGCCGUAACGGUGGUCAGACUAACAAUCAUUUUAAAAUGACUGCUUAUCAAGGUGAACACGAGCACAUUCAGCACGCACCAUUACAGUAUUGUGUCGAUUUUCAUUAAGGAAAUAUCACGAAUAUUAGUCAGCUGUUGGGGGACCUCAAUGCCCCCUGGCUUAGUAACAGUGAACACCCAGAGACAUGUCAUAUGCCAUUCCCCCUUUUAGUGAGCUGAUGCAGUAGGUGUGUUUGUUCCCUGAAGCCCUAGACAGCCCGUGCACAACCCUGGGGCAGAAGGCUAAAGGUUCAGGCAUCUUGUACAUCAGCUUGUCAGCACACUCGGUUUACACAGUCCUGCCAGCUGUCAUCAGACACAGCUCCCAGCAGCCUGGCAUCACAGACCAGUGUGCGCAGUCUGCGUGGAUGAGGCAGCGCGCGGCUGGCCAGUGAUGUUGCAGGGCACCUGGCAGGUGGGCGGGGUCUUUAGCUCUUACCUGCGUAAUCUGUGUUCACUCAGGGGGGGGUCUUUAGGUCUGUCUGGCGUCAUCGGCCGCUGUGUUUGCUCACGGGGGAGGGGUGUUGAGCUCUUUCUGCCGUCGUCGGCCUCUGUUCACACAGGGGGGUGUUCAGCUCACAACGCUAUUGUUGGUCUCUGUUCACACAAGGGGGUGUUUAGCUCAUAACACUGUUGUUGGUCUCUGUGUUCGCACAGGGGGGUGUCCUGCUCUGUGCACCGAAACAGCUAUGAACCAUCUAUUUUAUUUAUCUGUGUAUUUUCUGUUGAGGAGGCAUCACCCUCCCUUUUGUUUUGUGAUUGGUUAAAUGUUGCUUUGAUGUUUUUUUUUUUAUGCCAGCCCGAGCUUCAAAGCAAAGUGAUGCAAUUCAAGCCAGAGACAGGCCUCCAUUAAAAACAAAGGCUUCCAGCAUG